GUGCCAGCAGCCGCGGUAAUACGGAGGAUGCAAGCGUUAUCCGGAUUCAUUGGGUUUAAAGGGUGCGCAGGCGGAUUGGUAAGUCAGGGGUGAAAUCCCACAGCUCAACUGUGGAACUGCCUUUGAUACUGUCAGUCUAGAGUAUAGUUGAAGUUGGCGGAAUGUGUCAUGUAGCGGUGAAAUGCUUAGAUAUGACACAGAACACCGAUCGCGAAGGCAGCUAGCUAAGCUAUAACUGACGCUCAUGCACGAAAGCGUGGGGAUCAAACAGGAUUAGAUACCCUGGUAGUCC
rnacentral:rRNA from 1 species